rnacentral:rRNA from 1 species
UCCGAAGGGGGCUAGCGUUGCUCGGAAUCACUGGGCGUAAAGCGCACGUAGGCGGAUUGUUAAGUCAGGGGUGAAAUCCUGGAGCUCAACUCCAGAACUGCCUUUGAUACUGGCGAUCUCGAGUCCGGGAGAGGUGAGUGGAACUGCGAGUGUAGAGGUGAAAUUCGUAGAUAUUCGCAAGAACACCAGUGGCGAAGGCGGCUCACUGGCCCGGUACUGACGCUGAGGUGCGAAAGCUAGGGGAGCGAACAGG